UGGAUGUUUUAGAAUGGUGCAGACAGGUUGAGCAGCAGUAGAUGUUUUUUAAGUCCUAGGUGAGCACUCUAGGUUCUGUGAAUUUUCCCUUCACAGUACUGCAGUAUUUUCAUACUUCAAGGAAAUAGAAAUAAUAUGGUUUCUCUCUCCCAGAUUGUUACUACCGAGAAUGGAACUCGAGAAGAGGUACUUUUGGUGUUGUCCUAUUACCUCCCGUAUCUAAUAGAUGACACAAAGUUAUCAGUUUAGUUGGCAAGAGAAAAAGUCCACAUCAAUUGUGAGGAUAUGAUGAUUGGCAUACCUACCCCCUGUGUAUGCCUCACUUCUUCAGAAUUUGAG
rnacentral:lncRNA from 1 species